AGCCAGUUAGCUAGAAGCAAGUUCAAAAAGAAUUCAGAAAGGGAGGUGGUGGGGGUGGUUAGGAAGGCAGGUCAGUAGACAACUUCUGUGACAUCCUAAGGAGUUCAGACUUGGCCCUGUAGCAGUGAGAAGGCAGUUAAGGAUUUUAAGCAUUGUGCAAAACAGAGUAAUAGACUGCAGUCUGUCAUGACUAGAAGAAGGGGUCUCAUUGGAAGAAACUGGAGGGACAAAUCAGACUCUGAACAAAACUAGCAGCACUGGGGAUGGAGCAAAGGGAUUGAAUACAAGAUAUAUGAAUGAUGUAAAAUUUACAGGCCAUGGUGACUAUUUGGACACGGGACAUGGAGAGAAGACUGCUCUGGCAGCCUAGGGAUGGGAAGACAUACAAGAAAGCAACCAGUUACUGGAUUAUAUGAGGAAGGCUGUGACAGAGGCCAUACCGGAUGCUGCAGGAACACAGAAAAAGAAGGAUCUACGCCCUUUGAUGAAUUCCCAGGAAGCCUUCCCAGAUGUGUCAGUGGGCUCUUGAAGGGUGCUCAUCUACUGGAAAGGCUUCAACUUUCACCUUUGCUGAUGACGUUCCAGUCCCAGUCUGCCCAAUCUGAAUUCUUCCUCAGCCUCUGCUUAGCUUCCUAUCCUCCGUUCCUUCUCCUAUGAUCUAGGCAGACAUUGAGGAUUAUGCCUGGCACAUUUUCUCAGAGGGCCAAGGCACAGCCUUAAUUUUCUACUCAACUGGGAGCUCUAGGCACCCAUUACCAUUCAGAGUUGGCAUUCGAGACAAAAACUAUUUUUUUCCUGAAUCUAGUCCUUUUAAUUUUAAGCACCUUAAGGAAUAUACCUUUUAAAGUGUCUUGAAGGAUUUCAUUCCCCCAUUCAUUCAGCAAACUGUAAAGAGCUUCCCAUGUGCUGCCUGUUGAAUGCAACAUCCUCCCUCUCAAACCCUCUCCUGCUCAACAGGUCCCCUGCUAUCAAUGAUACCAGCAAUAGCACUGAAAGAAUAAAUAUACACCAGAUAACACAGGUGAGUGGGCACAGCUCUCCAUGCCACCCUAGUUCCUCACAAAGGCAUGCCCAAUAUUUGGAGGUACUGACAGCCUUAGAGGAAGGAGAAAUCCACCAGGUCAGAAAAAUUCUGAGCUGUAGGCUUGCUGCCUUUCUUACCUACAUUUGAGGAAAGGCCAGGUUAGCAUCCAAGAGUCCACCCUAUCACCAUAUAAAGAAUUCCAUGCCAGACACAUAUACUUCUAUUUCCUAAUGCUGGUCCUGGGUCUACAGUGGUCUUAUUAUAAUCAGUAGACCAUUCUAGUUCAAGCCCUUAUCCCCUCCUAUAUGGAUAACUGUAACAGACUCUCCUCUCCAGUUCAUCCUAUAAAUGCCAUAGCCAAACUCUACCCCAAUUUUAACUCCUAGUAAUUACUGAUUUGUUCUAUAGGUUGGUGCAACAGUAAUUGCGGUUUUCACCAUUAAAAGUAAUGGCGAAAGUAAUGCUUAGCCUCCUAUUUGGCGAAACUGUAAUGGUGAAAACUGUAAUUACUGUUGCAUCAACCUAAUACAACACUGCAAUUUUGUUUUUUAAGAAUUUCAAAUAGGCCAGGCACGGUGGCUCACACCUGUAAUCCCAGCACUUUGGAAGGCCGAGGCGGGUGGAUCACCAGGUCAGGAGUUCAAGACCAGCCUGACCAACAUGGUGAAACCCCAUCUCUACUAAAAAUACAAAAAUAAGUUGGGUGUAGUGGCGUGCGCCUGUAGUCCCAGCUACUCAGGAGGCUGAGGCAGGAGAAUAGCUUGAACCUGGGAGGCGGAGGUUGCAGUGAACUAAGAUCGCACUGCACUCCAGCCUGAGCGACAGAGCAAGACUCCAUCUCAAAAAAAAAAAAAAA
rnacentral:lncRNA from 1 species